UGUGUGAAUGUAAUGGAAUUUAAUUGGUUUAAUGUAAAAAUUUAAAUUUUUUUUUCGGAACAAAAAACUACA